rnacentral:rRNA from 1 species
UACGUAGGUGGCAAGCGUUGUCCGGAAUUAUUGGGCGUAAAGCGCGCGCAGGCGGCUUCUUAAGUCUGAUGUGAAAUCUCGGGGCUCAACCCCGAGCGGCCAUUGGAAACUGGGAAGCUUGAGUACAGAAGAGGAGAGUGGAAUUCCACGUGUAGCGGUGAAAUGCGUAGAUAUGUGGAGGAACACCAGUGGCGAAGGCGACUCUCUGGUCUGUAACUGACGCUGAGGCGCGAAAAGCGUGGGGAGCAAACAGG